GGGGAAGUUGAUUCCAUGACUGUGUGGCCC
rnacentral:piRNA from 1 species